UACGAAGGGGGCUAGCGUUGUUCGGAAUUACUGGGCGUAAAGGGCGCGUAGGCGGUUCUUUAAGUCAGGAGUGAAAGCCCUGGGCUCAACCCGGGAAUUGCUUUUGAAACUGGAGGACUGGAGUAUAGGAGAGGUGAGUGGAAUUCCCAGUGUAGAGGUAAAAUUCGUAGAUAUUGGGAGGAACACCGGUGGCGAAGGCGGCUCACUGGCCUAUUACUGACGCUGAGGCGCGAAAGCGUGGGGAGCAAACAGG
rnacentral:rRNA from 1 species